rnacentral:rRNA from 1 species
GAUAAACGCUGGCGGCGUGCCUAAUGCAUGCAAGUCGAACGGGAGCGCCUUCGGGCGUCGACCGUGGCGGACGGGUGAGGAACACGUGGCUAACCUGCCCGGAUCUGGGGGAUACCCGCCGGAAACGGCGACUAAUACCGCAUGAGCUCGCUCUGGGGGACUGGGGCGAGGAAAGGUCUUUGGACCGGGUCUGGAGGGGGCUGCGGCCGAUUAGCUAGCUGGUGGGGUAACGGCCUACCAGGGCGGUGAUCGGUAGCUGGUCUGAGAGGACGGCCAGCCACACGGGGACUGAGACACGGCCCCGACUCCUACGGGAGGCAGCAGCAAGGAAUUUUCUGCAAUGGGCGCAAGCCCGACAGAGCAACGCCGCGUGGGGGAUGACGCGCUUCGGCGUGUAAACCCCUUUUCCCUGGGACGAAGCAAGUGACGGUACCAGGGGAAGAAGGACCGGCUAACUACGUGCCAGCAGCCGCGGUAACACGUAGGGUCCGAGCGUUGUCCGGAAUUACUGGGCGUAAAGCGCGCGCAGGCGGUCCGGUCAGUCGAUGGUGAAAGCCCCACGCUCAACGUGGGAAGGUCCGUCGAGACGGCCGGACUGGAGGCAGGGAGAGGCCGGUGGAAUUCCGGGUGUAGUGGUGAAAUGCGUAGAGAUCCGGAGGAACACCAGAGGCGAAGGCGGCCGGCUGGACCUGACCUGACGCUGAGGCGCGAAGGCGUGGGGAGCGAACGGGAUUAGAUACCCCGGUAGUCCACGCGGUAAACGAUGUGCACUGGGUAUGGCGGGAGUCGACCCCUGCCGUGCCGGCGCUAACGCAGUAAGUGCACCGCCUGGGGAGUACGGCCGCAAGGCUAAAACUCAAAGGAAUUGACGGGGCCCCGCACAAGCAGCGGAGCGUGUGGUUUAAUUCGACGCAACGCGCAAAACCUUACCAGGGUUUGACGUCUCCGGAACCUGGCUGAAAGGCUGGGGUGCCCGCAAGGGAGCCGGAAGGCAGGUGUUGCAUGGCUGUCGUCAGCUCGUGUCGUGAGAUGUUGGGUUAAGUCCCGCAACGAGCGCAACCCCUGUCGCCAGUUACGAGGGUGUCUGGCGAGACUGCCGGAAGCAAACCGGAGGAAGGUGGGGAUGAUGUCAAGUCAGCAUGACCCUGACACCCUGGGCGACACACACGCUACAAUGGCCGGGACAGAGGGCAGCCAAGCGGUAACGCGGAGCCAAUCCCACAAACCCGGCCUCAGUUCAGAUCGUGGGCUGCAACUCGCCCACGUGAAGGCGGAGUUGCUAGUAACCGCCGGUCAGCAUUACGGCGGUGAAUAUGUUCCCGGGGCUUGUACACACCGCCCGUCACGUCAUGGGAGCCGGCAACACCUGAAGUCGGUGGGCUAACCCGUCAGGGAAGCAGCCGCCGAGGGUGGGGUUGGUGACUGGGACGAAG